CACCAGUCCCGGAUGCAGGCCCCGCAGAAGUUGUGGCCGCAGGGCAGCGUCACUGGGUCCUGGUACAGUCCCAGGCAGAUGGCGCAGAGCUGGGUUUCAGGAACCUGCUGGAUUGGGAUGUCUCCCUUCCCGGGGCCACACCUGUUUUUGGCCCACUGCCUGCUUUUGCUUCAGAUCCCAGGGCCCCGGAUACCCUCAGAAGGACGGAGGCAGGGUCUCAUCAUGUUACCGGCUGGUCUUGAAC